CCGCCCCCUCUCCCUCCGCACCCCGCCCUUCCCCCGCGCAGGGGCGGGGCCCCUCCCCCACCGGGGACACCCCUGACCCCCCCGGGGGCGGUGCGAGAAUACCACUUGGGUCGCUCGAGGAGGAAGAGUGUCCCAGGGGGGAAGCAGUACAGCAUGGAGGGUGCCCCUGCUGCGCCCUUCCGGCCCUCG
rnacentral:sRNA from 1 species